rnacentral:rRNA from 1 species
UCUAAAUUGAAAUAAAAUUGCUAAAUUAGUAAUAGUUAGUUACUUAAAAGUUAAAAAAUUUGGCGGUGACUCAAUCCUCCCAGAGGAACUUGUUUCUUAAACGAUAAGCCACGCAAAAUCUUACUUAUCCUUGUAAGAAGCAGCUUGUAUACCAUCAUUAUCAGGUAAUUUUAAAAGAAAAAAUUACUAAAUAAGAAUUAUUAUAAAAAUUAGAUCAUGGUGCAGCGUAUGGAUAAGUUGAAAUGAGUUACAUUAAAUUAUUUUAUAUGAAAUUGCAAAGGAAUGCAUUGCAAUGAAGGCGGAUUUGGUUGUAUUCUUAAUUUAAUAAGUUAAUAGGAUAUUGGUUCUGAGUCAUGUACAUAUCGCCCGUCGCUUUCGU